rnacentral:lncRNA from 1 species
UGCCUCGUAACGCCAGUUAACAUCUCUCUUCACUUUUCUCAGUAUCACUUCUCAACAGAAAUGGCGGUCUCGAAGGCAACUUCAUCAGUCCUUGCUGUAAUUGUCGUUGUUUGUUUUCUCAUCGGAACUACAAUAGCUGCCGACGCACCUGCACCGGCACCUGCUUCUUCCGCCGGAUCUAUGUCUCCGUCAUUCGCCGCUGGCUGUGCUGUCACUGUUUUCGCUUUCCUCUUCGGAUCUGCACUCAGGAUCUGAAGUUUUUGAAGAGUAGAGAGUGAGAUGAGUUUGUCUCAAUUUUCUACUGCUUAUUCAUUGUUUGCAUUUCAGAUUUCUUCGUGUUUUCUGGUGUAUAUGAAUAUAUGAUAUGUUACUAGGAACUGCUUCGUGUAUGUAUAGUCUAUGCAUUUCUUCUGUUCUAUGGAUUAUUUCUGCGUUUUCCAGAGUAGCUUUUUUGAUAUAUGAUAUUUUGGACGGCCCUAUGUAUUGAGUUUAUUUUACCUCCUUUAUUUCAUAGAUCUACUUCAGACAUCUCUAUUCUGCGAUUCUUCAUUUUUUUUGUCGAUUUUAUUAAUUAUUUUUUGGCGUAAUAUAGAUUUGUUUUCAUAAGCAUAAGCGAAUUUUUUUAAUCUUGUGCAAAAUUUCAAAUUAAUUAUGCUUAAUAAUUUGUAAGAGCUGAUGCAGAAGUGUGAAGGUAUUUAUUUAUAGAUACUGUUUACAGUGUGAAGCUUCAAUUUGGUCACAGAUUUUGUAGCUAAAUUUAUUUUUUGAAGUCUUAUAUUUAAACAGAUAUUUUAUAUAAUUUUUUGUAUGUUAUAAUUUUAUGGGUAAAUGUUGUAAAACUCAAAAAUAUGUGCGAACUCGUCACAACGGUGUCUGGAUUGUAUAAUUAUAUUAUAAUAAAGAAGAAAGGAGAGAGAGAGUUACCGACUGAAUCUGAAAUUUUGUUAAGAAUGUCGAUGGCGUGUGACUAUCAAAAUAAUUUUACUAUAUAGAAUUUGAAUUUGAAAUUUUACAAUUGUGCCAAAGCGAUAAUUUUAUUGAGUUUAAAUAUGUAUAUAAUAUGAGGAAAUUUCACACAACUAGACAACAUGAGGUGGCUAUAGCUCCCACCCCUUAGCAUGAACUUUGAAAUAUUACCACAUGGAAUGGUUUUUGCUCUGCACAAGCCCAAUUUUAAGGAGGAUUGUUACGAAUAGCCACCAUGAAUCUGAGUGUUGAAAACAUUCAAUCUGUCCACAUUUUUAUCAUAUCUAUUAAAUCACAUUACACUUUAAAUUAAUUACUUAAUGACACAUAUCUCUCCUCCUCUUUCUUCUCCUAUGCUCUAUUUUAUGCCUUAACCAUGUAGAUUAAGGCAAUAAUAAACAUCGACUUUGCACCGUUUUGAUUCAUUAAAAAGGGAAAAGAUUCAAGAUUCUUGAAUUUUUUCUUUACCAAAAUUUAAAGGAAAGUUAUUGAUGCCAGAUGAUCACGGAAGGCAUAAUUUUAUUUAUGCAUUUGAAUAAUUACAUUUUCGUCUUCUUUUUCUUAUCAUGUGUUAUCUAUAACAAGUUCCAAAAUAUUCUUCAGGUACGCAUAACAAGUGGAUUCAUAAUUACGCGUAGGUGUGAGGGUCGAUUUUUAAAUGUAGAAAGAGUUUUGGGAAUGAAUUGAGUUGAAUUUAAAAUUUUCUUGUCAGUGUAAAAUCUUAAUUAGGACAAGUGCAAACAAAACAAAAAUAUCUGAAGAGUUAUAUAUAAUAUGAAGUGUUAUGUGUCCAUCAAAUUAAAGGAAGGACUCUUGUCAUUUAUUCAAGUUAUGUGCUAAAAGUUAUUCUCAUUUUAUUGGUAGCAUUUGCGAAGAGGAUGUUAGGUCAGUGCUCCUAUUAAGGUUGAGUGACUAGUCACGACCUAGACUCCAACUGCGUGACCGCGCACGUUUCUUUAAGAAAAAAAUUGUUCUCAACUUUUUAUGUAUUAGGGGGGAUGCUUUCACCUUUUCCUCAUCCCACAACUCCAAUACGACUGUUACAUUUUUUCAAUUUUUCUCUUUCAUCUACGUUUAUACUAUGUGAUUGCUAAAAAGUUUAUGUUAAAGGAAGUAAGCACCCACAACCUUUAAAUCCUGGAUCCGCAAGUGAAUUUAGACUCCC